rnacentral:rRNA from 1 species
GGCGAACGCUGGCGGCAGGCCUAACACAUGCAAGUCGAACGAAGUCUUCGGACUUAGUGGCGGACGGGUGAGUAACACGUGGGAACGUACCUUUUGGUUCGGAACAACUCAGGGAAACUUGAGCUAAUACCGGAUGAGCCCUUAGGGGGAAAGAUUUAUCGCCGAAAGAGCGGCCCGCGUUAGAUUAGCUAGUUGGUGAGGUAAAGGCUCACCAAGGCUACGAUCUAUAGCUGGUCUGAGAGGAUGAUCAGCCACACUGGGACUGAGACACGGCCCAGACUCCUACGGGAGGCAGCAGUGGGGAAUCUUGCGCAAUGGGCGAAAGCCUGACGCAGCCAUGCCGCGUGGAUGAUGAAGGUCUUAGGAUUGUAAAAUUCUUUUACCAGGGACGAUAAUGACGGUACCUGGAGAAAAAGCCCCGGCUAACUUCGUGCCAGCCGCCGCAGUAACAC